GUGAAUUUUCAAAGCUCAAUUUACAAAUUUACAAAACAAGACUCAAUUCUCAAUGUGUGAAAAUUAGAAAUUGAAAAUUAUUUCGUAAAUUACGAAAAUUCGUAAACUUGAAAAUUCAUUGUCGAAGACAAUGUGCUGGGACCGGCAGACGGCUGAGUAACACGUUGGUAACUGCCCGAUACUCGAGGAUAGCUCGGAGAAAUCCGGAUUAAUACUCGAUAGUCCCCGCACCUUUUUGUUUCUGAUCGAGGAGCUAAUACGAGCCUAGAAUUCUCUCAUGAGAAUUUAAAGCUUAGCUUUAUUCAGAAGUGAAAAGGUGCGGGGUAAAGAUUUUUCGGUAUCGGAGGUGCCUGCGGCCUAUCAGUUUGUUGGUGAGGUAACGGCUCACCAAGACAAUGACGGGUAGCUGGUGUGAGAGCACGACCAGCCAGAAUGGGACUGAGACACGGCCCAUACUCCUACGGGAGGCAGCAGUAAAGAAUCUUCCGCAAUGGGCGAAAGCCUGACGGAGCGACACCGCGUGAGGGAUGAAGUCCUAACGGACGUAAACCUCUUUUGUAUGGGAGCAAAUUUUUGAGUUAACCAUACGAAUAAGGACCGGCUAAUCACGUGCCAGCAGCCGCGGUAAUACGUGAGGUCCAAGCGUUAUCCGGAAUCACUGGGCGUAAAGCGUCCGCAGCCGGAAAAGUAAGUCUGGAGUGAAAUUUCAGAGCCCAACUCUGAAAGCGUUCCGGAAACUGUUUUUCUAGAGUUCGACAGGGGCAAGGGGAAUUCCGAUUGUAGGGGUAAAAUCCGUAGAUAAUCGGAGGAACACCAAACGCGAAGGCACCUUGCUGGGUCGACACUGACGGUCAGGGACGAAAGCGUGGGGAGCGAAGGGGAUUAGAUACCCCCGUAGUCCACGCCCUAAACGAUGAUUACUCGGUUUGCGAGGGAUUCGAUCCCUUUGCGAGCCCAAGCUAACGCGUUAAGUAAUCCGCCUGGGUAGUACGAUCGCAAGAUUAAAACUCAAAGGAAUAGACGGGGACCCGCACAAGCGGUGGAGCAUCGGGUUUAAUUCGAUAAUAAGCGAGGAACCUUACCAGGACUUGACAUCUUCGGAAUCCUGUAGAAAUACGGGAGUGCUGCAAAGAACCGAAUGACAGGUGCUGCACUGGUCGUCGUCAGCUCGUGCCUUGAGGUGUUCGGUUAAGUCCGUAAACGAGCGCAACCCACGUCGUGUGUUACUUUUUCACGCGAGACUGCCCGGCCAAACCGGGAGGAAGGUGUGGAUGACGUCAGAUCAGCAUGGCCCUUAUGUUCUGGGCGACACCGGUGCUACAAUGCAUGGUACAAAGGGUAGCCCACCCGCGAGGGGGAGCCAAUCCUGAUAAAGCCAUGCCAAGUUCGGAUUGGAGGCUGAAACUCGCCUCNCAUGA
rnacentral:rRNA from 1 species